rnacentral:rRNA from 1 species
UUGCAGCCUGCAACUCGGCUGCAUGAAGCUGGAAUCGCUAGUAAUCGCGGAUCAGCAUGCCGCGGUGAAUACGUUCCCGGGCCUUGUACACACCGCCCGCCACACCAUGAGAGUCGGGAACACCCGAAGUCCGUAGUCUGACCGCGAAGGGGACGCGGCCGAAGGUGGGUUCGAUAAUUGGGGUGAAGUCGUAACAAGGUACC